AGGUGCUGGCUGGCAGGGGAGCCCCAUGCUGUGCCUGUGGGGAGCAGUUCCCCCACCCUAUUGCCCCCUCACUUGGAAGUUGGGGGGCUGUGCAUGCUCCUUCUGGGGCAGGCAGUCCCCUGGAGGUGUGAGGAGAGUCAGGAGCUUGCUAGCAGGGAAGGGUGAUGGGGGCUCCAGCAGGAUCCUGGGGGUGGGUUGCCUCUUCCUGCAGGGAAACCCCUUGGUUUCCCCUUGGAAACCCCUGUCAGCUGCUCCAGCUGGGGGGCUGCCAUUGUCUCUGGCCCCUUUGGGGAGCUGGGGCAGGUUCACCAGCCAGCAUAGGCCAGGUGCAACAUUAACCCUUUUGUACCUGCUGGGUAGCCAGGCAACUGAAACUGAGGCAGACAUGGGCUUCACAGCUGUAUUAUAAACAAUUCCCAUGUUUGCUGCAGGCUGAACAUGGGGCUCGCCCCUACACUGUGCUCCAAGCAGAGCCCUGGGAUGGCCAGACUGCAGGGGCAGAGGGGAUCCGCCUGGGGCCCCAUAGACUGGAGAGGGGCCAAUCUCCAUGCCCAGCAGGUCCCAUGAACAGCAUGGCACAGGCUCCCCCCAGCCCUGUGCCCACCCAGCAUGCCCUGCUCCCUGCCCUUACCUGGCUGGAGCUUUGCCUGGCAGGUGCUGGGGCACACAGGACUGAGGUGGUUCAGCCCCUGCCAUGGGAAGCUGGCACAGUGGCUGCCAUGCUGGGCCAGGCUCUCAGCACCCAGUCUGGAUGCCUGGAACCAUAGAUGGGCAUAAAGCCAUGCUAGGCUCCAGGGAGGAUGGGGGUGGGCGCUGGGCACUGCCGGAUUUGGGGACCUGCUUUGCAGAAGGUGGGUUUAUUGACUGAGCACUGAGGGGAAUACCCUCUCCCCCCAGCCCCCUGCCCCUGUCCCAGGGCAGGAGGUCACUCUGCUCACAGCCAGCUUUAGCACUGGCUUUGCGGGGGGCUGGAUUUGCAUUAGCCAACGCCAUGGCUCUGCUGUGUAGGGUGCUGGCAGAAUGGGGUUGGGGGAAGGACCUAGGCCAAGGCUGGGCCAGCAGGGGCCUGCAGGCUGGAGUUGAGGGGUGUCACACAAGCACAACUCUGGUGCUCUCUCACUCCUCCAUCUGGUCCCUGGGAAGUCCCCUUUGCAAUGUUACCCUCCGUAAGGUCACGUGGAGGAAACCUUUGCCUCCACCGCCAGCCCGUGGCCUCACCCCGUGAGCCCCUGUCAGCGCCCCUCGGCCUGCCCACCCUGAGGGAGCAAUACGGCCCCCGCCUGCUUAGGCUGCAGUGACUCAACCAGCGUGUAAAGCAGCAGGUUAUUGGACGUGGGGAACACAGAGUAGGAAGUUACCGCACAGUAACUGGGUCUGGCCGAGUCCCAGCGGGCCAGCCCCUUUUUGUCCAUCCAGCUGACCCCCCUCUACCACCUCCUCAAAGGCCCCUUCUCUGUCCUUUGUCUUUGUUCCGGGCACACACAUCCCCCUGGGCCCUCUCCAGCCCCUUGCUCUCCCGCUGGCCGGACCCGGUGGGUUCCAAGAUGGGCAGGGCCGCGUAGUCAGCAGUGGCUGAGUCACAGCGUCCAGACCAGGCUGCUAGGCAGGGUCACACCUGGGCCUCUGCAACACCAAACCCCCUCACCCAUCCCCUUGGUAAACAGCAGCACACAGAGGAAACUGAGGCCCACACAGUAUUCAUACAAACUGUUAAGAAUAUUCCCCACAUUGUCACAAGGCCACUAGCAAAACUGGGGUGGGGUCCUAGGGCUGGAAGAGGCAGAAGAGCUGAGGCAGAGCUGAGAGUGGGGAGCCUGGGGCC